AUGGGUAUGCCAAGUCAACUUUGUCCUACAGAAAUAUACACGCACCAUAUGAUUGUCUCAUCGACAUUAUCUUACUACAAGAAAAAAAUCUAGUUGCAAUUAGAAAACAUACAUUGAAGCUAAAACCUUCUUAGAGCUAAACCUUCUGCUUGUUUAUCCAGAAUUGAGUCUGAAUUCAAUAGGGAUUUACUCCUAGGUAAACUUGACAAAAGGACAAGAUCCAUUUUUAUUACAGCCUCAUCCAAACUGGACUGUCAGUAUAAACAAACAAGACAAGAAUUACAGCGCAAAGGCAUAGAGGAUGCAAUUCUAAAUGCUAAUAAAUCAUGUUUAUAGCUUAUCUCUAUGGAGAUUCACAGUCAUCCAGGUCUUGGUUGUCCCAAAGGUGUUUUUUCAAGAGCCAAUUGAACUUUCUGGUCUUUCUUGGAAGAAGUUUAGCUUCUUAUCCAAGAAGCUUCUUGGAUGAAAAGCGAAACUUCUUCAAAGAAAAAUCACAACGUCCAGUUGCCUCUU